GUGUCAGCAGCCGCGGUAAUACGGAGGGGGCUAGCGUUGUUCGGAAUUACUGGGCGUAAAGCGCACGUAGGCGGCUUUGCAAGUCAGAGGUGAAAGCCCAGGGCUCAACCCUGGAAUUGCCUUUGAGACUGCAUCGCUAGAAUUGUGGAGAGGUAAGUGGAAUUCCGAGUGUAGAGGUGAAAUUCGUAGAUAUUCGGAAGAACACCAGUGGCGAAGGCGACUUACUGGACACAUAUUGACGCUGAGGUGCGAAAGCGUGGGGAGCAAACAGGAUUAGAAACCCUUGUAGUCC
rnacentral:rRNA from 1 species